GCUCCCUUCUUCCUUUACCCUAGACAAAAAAGAAUAUCCGAAUUCACCGCACACACAUAAGCAGCCAUUUAGACCAAAAGAGGACCCAUCUUCUCCAUUUUUUUUUUAACAGCCACCAAACCACCAUAGCUCUCCAUUAUAAUCACUAACCAUAGCUCACCAUUUUCAUCACUUAAAACUCCACGAUGAACACCAUUAAAACCGCCUGAAAAUACCUCCAUAUACACCGUGAACCACUCCAUUUUCCCGAAACCAGCAACCAAACCGUCCCUCACUUUUAUUUCCGUUCAAACAACCCCCAAUACACUACCGUUCAACCACCUUACUAGUUAAUUUUCUGUCACAUUGAGUUGAAAUUUAACGGGGUUUCCAGUCGAGGUUCCAGAUUCCAUUUAGCGGCUUUCUGUCGGCGGUUUGGUGUUAUCGUAUUUUUCGUUACAUUGCGGAGCAAUCUGGCCCAUUCCACAAAUUGUCGGAAAUCUGCACGAGACUCACUGUGAAGGAUGGAUACGUCAACCCGCUCGAAAGUACUAAUGGUUGUUAAAAUCCCAAAGAAGCUAUGUAGGUGGUGGAAAAUUUUCAAACCCUAGAACAAAAAGAAUCGAUGAAUAGACUAGGAACCCUUAUUUCAUUAAUUGAUAUGACACCUCGUCCUGACUUGACUGAGGCGUUGUUGAGAUUCUGGAACCCACAGGAGAUGAUUUUCAAAUUUGGGGAUUGUGAAAUGACACCUACAUUAGCUGAGAUAUCCGGUUUGACCCCCCUUCCAUAUUUGGAUAAGGAAAUGAUCCUUCCCCAGGCUCAUUCGGGAAAGAUUUCGACUACACAUACGUUGCCAAUAGGGAGUGUUUUAGUUAAAUGCAUACUAACCGUUAGAUCUGAAAGUGCACAGGUGUCAUAGGAUUAGCAUUGCACUGGAAAAAGUGGACCUAAAUUGUACGGAGAGGAGCCGCUCCCUUCUCCCUUUACCCUAGACAAAAAAGAAUAUCCGAAUUCACCGCGCAUACAUAAGCAGCCAUUUAGACCAAAAGAGGACCCGUCUUCUCCAUUUUUUUUAACAGCCACCAAACCACGAUAGGUCUCCAUUAUAAUCACUAACCAUAGCUCACCAUUUUCAUCACUUAAAACGCCACGAUGAACACCAUUAAAACCGCCUGAAUAUACCUACAUAUACAUCGUGAACCACUCCAUUUUCCUGAAACCUGCAACCAAACCGUCCCUCACUUUUAUUUCCGUUCAAAGAACCCCUAAUACACUACCGUUCAACCACCUUACUAGUUAAUUUUCUGUCACAUUGAGUUGAAAUUUAACGGGGUUUCCAGUCGAGGUUCCGGAUUCCAUUUAGAGGAUUUAUGUCGGCGAUUAGGUGUUAUCGUAUUUUUCGUUACAUUGCGGAGCAAUCUCGCCCAUUCUACAAAUUGUCGGAAAUCUGCACGAGACUCAUUGUGAAGGAUGGAUACGUCACCCCGCUCGAAAGUAUUAAUGGUUGUUAAAAUCCCAAAGAAGCUAUGUAGAUAGUGGAAAAUGUUCAAACCCUUGGAACAAAAAGAAUUGAUGAAUAGACUAGGUAUCCUUAUUUCAUUAAUGGAUAUGACACCUCGUCCUGACUUGACUGAGGCGUUGUUGAGAUUCUGGAACCCACAGGAGAUGAUUUUCAAAUUUGGGGAUUGUGAAAUGACACCUACAUUAGUUGAGAUAGCCGGUCUGACCCGCCUUCCAUAUUUGGAUAAGGAAAUGACCCAUCCCCAGGCUCAUUCGGGAAAGAUUUCGACUACACAUACGUUGCCAAUAGGGAGUGUUUUAGUUAAAUAACUAUUGAUCGUUAGAUCUGAAAGUGCACAGGUGUCAUAGGAUUAGUAUUGCACUGGACAAAGUGGACCUAAACUGUACGGAGAGGAGCCGCUCCCUUCUCCCUUUACCCUAGACAAAAAAGAAUAUCCUAAUUCACCCCGCACACAUAAGCAACCAUUUAGACCAAAAGAGGACCCAUCUUCUCCAUUUUUUUUUUAACAGCCACCAAACCACCAUAGCUCUCCAUUAUAAUCACUAACCAUAGCUCACCAUUUUCAUCACUUAAAACUCCACGAUGAACACCAUUAAAACCGCCUGAAAAUACCUCCAUAUACACCGUGAACCACUCCAUUUUCCCGAAACCAGCAACCAAACUGUCCCUCACUUUUAUUUCCGUUCAAAUAACCCCUAAUGCACUACCGUGCAACCACCUUACUAGUUAAUUUUUUGUCACGUUGAGUUGAAAUUUAACGGGGUUUCCAGUUGAGGUUCCGAAUUCCAUUUACAUUGAGUUGAAAUUUAACGGGGUUUCCAGUUGAGGUUCCGGAUUCCAUUUAGCGGCUUUCUGUCGGUGAUUUGGUGUUAUCGUAUUUUUCGUUACAUUGCGGAGCAAUCUCGCCCAUUCUACAAAUUGUCGGAAAUCUGCACGAGACUCAUUGUGAAGAUCCUAGAUUUCGGUGGAGUGGAGGAAAAGAGAUUUGAUUUCAAGGGAGUGAGACAAUUGAUCCAAGCUGAUCUCAGGGAGCGACCUAUACCAAAUGCGCAGUUGCACAAACCUGAAUUCAACAUGCCUCAUGAGAUAAAAAAAAAACUACUGUGACCUGUUGGACAAUUGGCCACAAGGAGAAUCAGACUAUAAGUAAGUCUCGCAAGAAGUAUUUUUUGUGGGAAAUUUACUUUUUUCCAGUCAUUAAACCUGUUUUUAACCUUCUCACGAAUGUAAAGAUCCAAGGUUUUUUGGCUUCCCUCAUAUUUUCCAAUGAAUUUCUCUGUUCUUAUGUUACCCAUGUCUUUUUCUAAUUGUUUCUUUUCUGGUUUCACCUAAAAUGGUUGUAUCAAGCCCCAAUGUGUUGGAGCUCCCAAGUUAAACUGAUUUUCCUUGAGGCAAUACAUCAAGUUAUGCGGAAGGACCACAAAAAUUACCCAAGAUCCCCGAGCCGCACACAUGACUCACUUUAUGACAAGCCAAAUGGAGUUGUAUUUUAUGCCAGAAACUUCAAACGUCACUCCGAUUUUCGUCUCACUAUGGUGAUAGAUGUGCUGGAGCGUGUAAUUCCUGAACUUUUAUCAGGCGUUUAUCUGGACUUGGUCGAGACACCAUUCAAGAAUGACGUAGUUUGGGAGGUAUCAGAGACAAAUGAAUGGACUAAGACAACGGUUAAGGAGUAUCUUUUCAGGAAUCCUUCAUUUUUCUGCUUGGACUAGAGACCAGCUGCUUGGGAAUUGUUCAUUUAUUUGGAAGCUCAGAAGAAAAAAGUAUACAAUAGUAGCCAUUUUGCUUUCUGACUGAUGUCGCUGAUUAUGAUAUCGCUUUUGUCAACACUUUGUUAUGUUCUUGUUUGUUCUAGGAUUCUCUUAGUCACUUUGAGUUUCUUGCAUUAUUCUCCGGAACAUUUAGACAUAUUUUCUUUAUUGAUGUUGUAGAAUUCUAAACAUUCGCUCAUGCACACAGUCGAAAAGUGACUAUUCCAA